UACGUAGGGUGCAAGCGUUGUCCGGAAUUAUUGGGCGUAAAGGGUGCGUAGGCGGCGCGGUAAGUCGGGUGUGAAAUCUUGGAGCUUAACUCCGAAACUGCAUUCGAUACUGCCGUGCUUGAGGACUGGAGAGGAGACUGGAAUUUACGGUGUAGCGGUGAAAUGCGUAGAUAUCGUAAGGAAGACCAGUGGCGAAGGCGGGGUCUCUGGACAGUUCCUGACGCUGAGGCACGAAGGCCAGGGGGAGCAAACGGG
rnacentral:rRNA from 1 species